CAUGUUUUUCUUUUCUUUUCGUGAAGCACGUAAGUCAUAUGGUUGUUAAAGGCCCCUGAAAUUCAAAACAUUUCAACUUUUUUGAAACAUCAAGCAUUGCCAGCAAAUCAGUUUUUCUCAGAUUGUUGCAAGCUGUUAACCAUUGGUAAAAAUAAUAUUGCAAAACAAAGGUUCCCAGUGUACAUUUUGUUUUCCUUAUAUUCACUCUUAGGGUUGUAUGUAGGUUGGCAGUGUCUCCCAUAUUUUAAUGUUUUUAGUUUCUCCAAGAAUGUUCUUCUUGACAAUAGUUUUUCUAAAAAACAUGGAAUAGCAUUUCUAUCUAGUUUCCAAAAACUGACUGUUUAGUAACAAAGGGUUUUAGGAUGCCAAAAAUAAUAUUCUUAAAACAAAGGGACUAAUUUACUGUCAUUACAAGAAAGGAAAAGUACUUGCACAGUACACAGCUCAACUGAGAUAUUUUUUGGUGAGGACCACACAGUCUACCCAUGUUUAAAGGGCAAAUUCUCUAAGUUUCCUUGAUUGCGAGGCACAAAUGAAUGCGAAGCCUGGAAACUCUGAUCCUCUAGUGCAUGAAAACAUGAUCAAAUGAUGUAGCAGUUAAGUUGCAUAAUUCAUAAAGCCACGUCCAAGCAAACAGUAAAGCUUGUGCGGAAUGGAGAAGAGAAAGCAUCUCAUAUUCCUCCAGUUUUAGUGGACUGGUGGCACACUACUAGCCAGACCACUGAGGACAAUAUCCCAAUCCAUUUCACGUACCUGCAUUUAUCCUGAAAUAAGAAAGUGGUGUAUUUUAAUGACUUGCUACUCAAACAGUCCUUAAGAAGUAUACUUAUAAUUACUGUUCUCCACUGCUGCCAUCAUCAGCUGAUCUGACAUGGUCAGGAUUGCUGUCACGUGAGUGGUCGUCCUCUGUGCCAUCAACUUCUUAAAACUCUUUUUCAAGUUACCGCAGGCAGCAUGAAUGCCCAUUCACUUUUUAUCAACGUGCAAAACUGUUAAGUGUUGAGCCACUAGAUUUUAGUUGUUGGUGUGAAUGAAUGCUUUCAAAAAUUCUACCAUCACUUGUUUUGUCUUUCAUUGCAGCUUCAAAUGGCUUAUGUAUAGAUGCAGCAUGCAUGUCCAUUUCUCCAGGGAUGACAACUUGAUUUAUAUUUCUGAUUCUUCCGUCAUAUGGGGAAAGUACCUGUGUACACUGAAGUUGUGCUUGGCUUGGCUUCUGGGAAUGUGAAGAUGGAGGCAGUAUGUACCUUUGAAAUGGUAGUAACCACCUAUAAGACUACACGUUGUAGUCCAGAAGACCACCACCAGAUCUCUAAUUGAUGUGAAGACCUCAGAUAUCACGUAGCUGAUGUGUAAAUCACCAAAAGGACUGAGGACCGAAAACUUUUGAAAUAUAAUGGAAAAUUAAAGUACUGAAAUACAAAUAUAUUGUCUAUAUGUCACAGGAUGGCUUACCACAGGCCCUGUCAUUGUCAUCUUGUCCAUCAUGACUCAUGCAUUCGGUGUUGUGUUAGCAGUUGAAGCAGACAUGUGCUCUGGGUGUGUAGGUGUGUCACAGGCCAGACAGGGCAAUUGGCUGUGGCUAAACUGAUGAGUGACUGAGUUGUAAGGUGUAGACGAGGCUUACAAGAAGUGGCACACUCACAGAAGUAUUUUGCAGACGUGUCCAAGUUAUGUAUCAGAGUCGGUUAACUCUCAAGCGGCCAUGAGGUGAGCAAAAAAAUGUACAGAAACCUAUGACCUUUAUGAGUAUUAACCAAUUUAUUAGUAGUUUCUUGAAAUUCAAAGUUCAUCUGACAGCAGGCAGAACUCUGGAACAGUUUUUUAUAAUUACUGUUUGGCAUGUACCCUUUGAAAUCAUUUUGUGUCCCACAUGUGACACACAUACCACACUUUAAGAAAUGCUGCUAUAAUUUUUUAAAUAAAUUAAAGUGACUUUUUUGCACAGUC